rnacentral:rRNA from 1 species
CCUACGGGGUGCUGCAGUGGGGAAUAUUGGACAAUGGGCGAAAGCCUGAUCCAGCCAUGCCGCGUGUGUGAAGAAGGCCUUCGGGUUGUAAAGCACUUUCAGUGGGGAAGAAAGCCUUGGGGCUAAUACCCUCGAGGAAGGACAUCACCCACAGAAGAAGCACCGGCUAACUCCGUGCCAGCAGCCGCGGUAAUACGGAGGGUGCGAGCGUUAAUCGGAAUUACUGGGCGUAAAGUGCGCGUAGGCGGUCUGAUAAGCCGGUUGUGAAAGCCCCGGGCUCAACCUGGGAACGGCAUCCGGAACUGUCAGGCUAGAGUGCAGGAGAGGAAGGUAGAAUUCCCGGUGUAGCGGUGAAAUGCGUAGAGAUCGGGAGGAAUACCAGUGGCGAAGGCGGCCUUCUGGACUGACACUGACGCUGAGGUGCGAAAGCGUGGGUAGCAAACAGGAUUAGAUACCCUUGUAGUC